GCCGAGAUGGUGGAAUAGGCAGACACGAAAGCCUCAAAAGCUUUUGUCCGAAAGGGCGUGCGGGUUCGAGUCCCGCUCUCGGCACCA
rnacentral:tRNA from 1 species